AUGGGGCGGAAGAAGAUCGUAAUCCGGCGCAUCGAGAACAAGGCUGCACGGGACAUCUGCUUUUCCAAGCGCCGGGAGGGGCUGUUUCGCAAGGCGAACGAGCUGGCCGUCAUGUGCGGCGCCGAGGUGGCCGCCGUCGUCUACUCCCCGGCCGGCAAGGCCUAUUCCUUCGGCCACCCCUCCGCCGAGGACAUCGUCGACCGCUUCCUCCGCCCCGCGGAGCAGGCCGGGGCGGCGGGGGCUGGCAUGGGCGCCGCCGUCGACCCGGACCGGCUGGCAGAGCUGCAACAGAAGGUCGCGCGGAGGGGAGCCAGGCGGCGGCGUGGCUGGACGCAGUCGCAGACCAGCGCAACAUGGGGGACGCGGACAUGCUGGCCUGCAUGGCUACGCUGA
rnacentral:rRNA from 1 species